UACGGGGGGAGCAAGCGUUGUUCGGAUUUACUGGGCGUAAAGCGCGUGUAGGCUGCUCUGCGUGUCGGAUGUGAAAGCCCUGGGCUCAACCUAGGAAGUGCAUUCGAAACUGCAGAGCUGGAGUCCUGGAGAGGAAGGCGGAAUUCUCGGUGUAGAGGUGAAAUUCGUAGAUAUCGAGAGGAACACCGGUGGCGAAGGCGGCCUUCUGGACAGUGACUGACGCUGAGACGCGAAAGCGUGGGGAGCAAACAGG
rnacentral:rRNA from 1 species